AGGCCCCGCCCCCGCCUUGCACGGACCGGCUGCCCUAGCCAAUCCACGCCCACCUGUCCGCCACCGCCUCCAAUCCUGGGCCAGGAGCUUCAGACAGGCGCACUGUUCGGCCAGUGGCAACAAGGAGCAGGAAGCUGCGUGGUAAUCCCGCCUGCAAAAGCUGGAAGAGAGGGGCGGAACGAAAGAACCAAUCAUGAGCCAGAGACAAAGAACAGAGUAACCAAUCCUUGGGUUGAAAAUGAAGUGGGAUGGAACCUGGGCCAAAUAGACACUUGAAAAAACAAAUGGAAAAAAAAGGUUGAUGAGCUGAGCAUGAAGAACGAGAAGUCGGAAGUGAGUCAGCAGGAUAGCACUUAGAGCCUAAAAAAGCAAGCAGGACAUCAGAAUGCAUAAGCAGGAAUAUAAUGUGCAGGAAGUGGGAGGUGAUCUUCCCUUUCUUCCAAGAACUGGCUCACCCCAUGAGUUGUCUGCAAAGACUUUGCAGAACUUGGGCCAGGCCCAGGAAUAUUAAAGGACUACAAAAGGAGCAACUCACAUUCAACAGUGCUGGGUGCUCAACACCUGUUAUCUCAUGUGAUCAAUCGUCAAUAUGUCCCAUUUUGCAAAUGAAGAAACAGACUCGGGA